AUGUCAAGUUUCAUUAUAUAAGUAUCAGUGUGAAAUAUCAUAGUAAUACUUUUGUAUCAGUAUCAGUAAUAAUAACAGGAAGCCUUUUGUUCUCUGUUCUCUUCCUCUAUUUUCUGGUAUAUCGUAUCAAGAACAAUUUUUCUGGGGCUCCUUUUAAAGGAUUUCUUCUUCUACCUCUAUCACAUCCCUCCCUGUGUUCUAGAUAACUCUCUUUUCCAACCCAAUACGUUUAACACCCCGAUCACUUUGAAGCUUGAUGAUAACAACUUCUUGCCAUGGAAGCAACAACUCUAUGCCAUCAUUCAAGACCAAUUCUGCAUAUCUUUUUUCCAUGGCCAAGACAAACUUUUUCUUCCAUGGAUGUUAUGCGCCUCUACUCAAGUUUGGAAAUCUUGACAUAAAAAAGAUGUUACGCCCCUCUACUCAAGUUUGGAAAUCUUGACAUAAAAAGGUCGUGAUACUCUCGCUGCUGCGACUGGUGCUCCUAUAUCAACAAAAGAACACAUCGAAUGCAUCCUUUAUGGAUUAUCAGAAGGUUACAUGCCAUAUCAACAAAAGAACACAUCAAAUGCAUCCUUUAUGGAUUAUCAGAAGAUUACGAUGGUUUUGUAACCUCCAAAUCAUUUCAAGAAUGGAUCCUUGUACCUUUGAGGAUAUUGAGUCUCUCUUCUUAUCCCAGGAGGACGUCACAGGUUUGUUUAUCGACCCUCUGCUAAUCUUUCAUAGUCUUUUGCCAACGUUGUUUCCAAGAAUAACUACAAGAACUUCUUUGCCAAUAGUUUCAACAAGUUUCGACAGCCAAACAACUCCUUUCGACAACCUCGAUGGAACAACAAACUUACAAACACAUCUUCAUCAUCUACCACCUUUAGACAAAAGUAUCAGAUUUGUGGAAAACCAGACCAUAGUGCCAUAGAUUUCUGGUUCAGAUUUGAUCAGUCAUACUCUUCUUCUGUUUCAGCCAAUUCUACACAAUUAUCUCCUUCUGAAGAUGCAAAUUUGUGUAUACUUCUACUCCAUUAACUGUUCAUGACCCCUUAUGGUAUUAGGAUAAUGGUGCAACGCACCACGUCUCUCACGAAGGUUAAAACAUAACUCAAAAGCGCUCUUACACUGGUAAAGAUUCUAUCAAACUUGGCACUGGUUCAUGUAUCUCAAUUUCUUCUAUUGGCUCUACUAGUUUCACUACUCCACACACACAGUCACCUCUUAUUUUACAUUAUCUUCUUUAUGUUCCUUCUAUCAUGAAAAAUCUUUUCAGUGUGUCCAAAUUUGCGCAAGAUAAUCAUGUCUCUUUUGAAUUCGAUGUCGACAGAUACUAUGUAAAAUCAAAGCACACCAAACAGAUUAUUCUUCAAGGCUUUUUUAGCAAUGACUUAUGUUUUUCCUUUGCUUCUUAAUACUUCUUCUAUCACCACUUGUAAUGCUACAUUUUCCUCUUCAAUUUCUGUAUACAAACUCUGGCAUGCAUCUUCGUCCAUUGUAAAUCGUGUUUUACAUACUUAAUAUAUCUUGUAAACAUAUUGGUGAUUUAUGUGAUUCAUGUACUUUAGAUGAAUCCCAUAAAUUUCCUUUCAAAGAUUUCACUACAGUUUAUCACACUCCUUUCAAAGAUUUCACUAUAGAUGCAAGCUCUCGGUAUUAUUUCACCAGAUUAUGCCUUUUUUAUGCACUUUUGGAUGCUCUUGUUAUCCUAUGUUGCGCCUAUAUCACUCACAUAAACUCACUUUACGUUCAACAUUAUGCAUUUUUCUUGGCUACAAUCAACAAUAUAAAGGUUAUAUUUCUGUUGACCAUUCAGGUAAAAGAUAUAUAUCCAGGCAAGUUGCUUUCAACGAAAAUCAAUCUCCAAUCAAACUUGCCUCAAAUCCUUUUCUUCCGACACAAUAAGUUACUAUUAAUAUGCCAUCUUACUGUGGUUUCUCAUAAACAUAUGCCUCAGACUACGUUUCAAGAUGAUAACGGUUUUUCUUCUCCUAACACCACUACUGCUGCAUCAACAAAUCACGAUGCAACUUCUCCUAUCAUGUCAAUGUCAUCACCAACUUCAUCCUCUACUGAUACUCCUGUGAACAAUGCUCCAACUGAGACUUCACCAGGUUCAACGUCCUCUUCGCAGCAUGUCGCGCCUAACACACAUCAUAUAGUAACCCGAUCAGAGACAGGUAUUUUUAAACCAAAACUUUAUAAUACUUAUCUUACUGACAUCCACAUCGAAACUGACGAAGUGAAAGAAGCCUUGUCUCAACCACAAGGGCAUGAUCCUAUGCAAGUUGAAUAUCAAGCACUCGUCCAAAACAACACAUAUGGACUCUUGUUUAAAAUCAUUGGCUGUAAAUGGGUUUUUUAGAAGAAGUACAAUGCGGAUGGAUCUCUGCAAAGAUGAAAGGCUCCUCUCGUUGCAAAAGGAUUUCAUCAGACAUUUGGACUUUAUCACAAUGACACCUUCAGCCUUGUCAUCAAGCAUGCUACCAUUUGAGUUAUAUUUGUUAGAAGUGAACUUUAAGCCUAACUCAACCCCAUAAAACCGGUUUGUAGAGUGAGGUUUGUACUCACUUAUAAACUACGAAUUGAUCUUAUCUCUAGUCGAUGUAGGACUUCCAACACUAUUAACUCUUGUUGUUCCACACAAAUGACUUGUCAACCAAGUUGAUAUUAAUAAUGCGUUUCUUCA